UGGGGAAUAUUGGACACUGCGGGAAACCGUGAUCCAGCAAUGCCGAGUGAGUGAUGAAGGCCUUAGGGUUGUAAAGCUCUUUUACCAGGGAUGAUAAUGACAGUACCUGGAGAAUAAGCUACGGCUAACUCCGUGCCAGCAGCCGCGGUAAUACGGAGGGAGCUAGCGUUGUUCGGAAUUACUGGGCGUAAAGCGCGCGUAGGCGGCCAUUCAAGUCAGGGGUGAAAUCCCGGGGCUCAACCCCGGAACUGCCCUUGAAACUAGGUGGCUAGAAUACUGGAGAGGUGAGUGGAAUUCCGAGUGUAGAGGUGAAAUUCGUAGAUAUUCGGAAGAGCACCAGAGGCGAAGGCGACUCACUGGACAGUUAUUGACGCUGAGGUGCGAAAGCGUGGGGAGCAAACAGGAUUAGAUACCCGGGUAGUCC
rnacentral:rRNA from 1 species